UGGGGAAUAUUGCACAAUGGGCGCAAGCCUGAUGCAGCCAUGCCGCGUGUAUGAAGAAGGCCUUCGGGUUGUAAAGUACUUUCAGCGGGGAGGAAGGGAGUAAAGUUAAUACCUUUGCUCAUUGACGUUACCCGCAGAAGAAGCACCGGCUAACUCCGUGCCAGCAGCCGCGGUAAUACGGAGGGUGCAAGCGUGAAUCGGAAUUACUGGGCGUAAAGCGCACGCAGGCGGUUUGUUAAGUCAGAUGUGAAAUCCCCGGGCUCAACCUGGGAACUGCAUCUGAUACUGGCAAGCUUGAGUCUCGUAGAGGGGGGUAGAAUUCCAGGUGUAGCGGUGAAAUGCGUAGAGAUCUGGAGGAAUACCGGUGGCGAAGGCGGCCCCCUGGACGAAGACUGACGCUCAGGUGCGAAAGCGUGGGGAGCAAACA
rnacentral:rRNA from 1 species